rnacentral:rRNA from 1 species
AAGAAAGUAAUUAAGGGCGAAUGGGGGAUGCCUAGGCUCUUGGAGGCGAAGAAGGACGUGGUAAGCUGCGAAAAGCUGCGGGGAUUUGCAAACGAGACUUGAUCCGCAGAUAUCCGAAUGGGACAACCCGGCUGGCAGGAGGCCAGUCACACCGUAAGGUGGGCUAACCCUCUGAACUGAAACAUCUAAGUAGGAGGAGGAGAAGAAAGAAACAUCGAUUUCCUGAGUAGCGGCGAGCGAAAGGGAAGAAGCCUAAACCGACGUUGUUACGGCAAUGUCGGGGUUGUAGGACUGCGGGAUUCGAUACUGAGAGAACCGGAACGGUUUUGGAAAAGCCGGCCGAAGAGCAUGAAAGCUGCGUACGGGUAAUCGAGGUAAAGAAGGCAGUAUCCUGAGUAGGGCGGGACACGAGGAAUCCUGUCUGAAUCUGCCGGGACCACCCGGUAAGGCUAAAUACUACCAAGAGACCGAUAGUGAACCAGUACUGUGAAGGAAAGGUGAAAAGUACCCCGAACAGGGGAGUGAAAUAGAACCUGAAACCGUUCGCCUACAAUCGGUCGGAGCCACUUCGUGUGGUGACGUCGUGCCUUUUGCAUAAUGAGCCUACGAGUUACUGAUCACUAGCGAGGUUAAGUGGCAGGAGUCACGGAGCCGAAGCGAAAGCGAGUCUGAAUAGGGCGUAUAGUUAGUGGUCGUAGACGCGAAACCUUGCGAUCUACCCUUGGCCAAGAUGAAGUUCGGGUAACACCGAAUGGAGGUCUGCACCGAUAAGCGUUGAAAAGCUUCCGGAUGAGCUGAGGGUAGGGGUGAAAGGCUAAUCAAGCUGGGAAAUAGCUCGUACUCCCCGAAAUGCUUUUAGGAGCAGCGUUUUAAUAGUCUACUGGAGGUAGAGCUACUGAUUGGAUGCGGGGGCUUCACCGCCUACCAAAUCCUGACAAACUCCGAAUGCCAGUAGAAUGAUUUAGAGCAGUGAGCGGCUGGGUGCUAAUGUCCGGCCACGAGAGAGGAACAACUCAGACCAGCAGCUAAGGCCCCGAAGAGUAUACUAAGUUGAACUAACGAUGUGCGACUGCAGCGACAGCUAGGAUGUUAGCUUGGAAGCAGCUAUUCAUUUAAAGAGUGCGUAACAGCUCACUAGUCGAGCGGUUGUGCGUGGAUAAUAAACGGGCAUCAAGUAUACCGCCGAAGCUCUGGGAUCUACGGAUCGGUAGGGGAGCAUUCCAUUCGCGUCGAAGUUGUAGCGUGAGCUAUGGUGGAGCGUAUGGAAAAGCAAAUGUAGGCAUAAGUAACGAUAAGGCGGGCGAGAAACCCGCCCACCGCAAGACCAAGGUUUCCUGAUCAACGUUAAUCGGAUCAGGGUUAGUCGGGACCUAAGGAUAAGCCGAAAGGUGAUUUCGAUGGACAAUCGGUUAAUAUUCCGAUACUGAUAUGGACUGCGACGGAGAGACGAAGGGGCGUAAGCCACGCCAACUGACGGAAUAGUUGGUUAAAGGAUGUAGGUAAAUCGGGAGGUUAAGAGCUUUCUGAUGCUGAAAUCCGACAGUACCGCAAGCCUACGGGUGAGCGGAUAGUUGGCCCAAGCGGACUUCCGAGAAAAACUUCUAAGCUUCAGGUUCAUAUCACCCGUACCGUAAACCGACACAGGUGGUCGAGGAGAGUAUCCUAAGGUGCUCGAGUGAUUCACGGUUAAGGAACUAGGCAAAUUAACCCCGUAACUUCGGAAUAAGGGGUCCCAUCGCAAGAUGGGCGCAGCGAAGAGGUCCAGGCGACUGUUUAGCAAAAACACAGGGCUCUGCAAAUUCGAAAGAAGACGUAUAGGGCCUGACACCUGCCCGGUGCUGGAAGGUUAAGAGGGGAUGUCAUCGCAAGAGAAGCAUUGAAUCGAAGCCCCAGUAAACGGCGGCCGUAACUAUAACGGUCCUAAGGUAGCGAAAUUCCUUGUCGGGUAAGUUCCGACCUGCACGAAUGGUGUAACGAUCUGGACACUGUCUCAACCGUGAGCUCGGUGAAAUUGUAGUCCCGGUGAAGAUGCCGGGUACCCGCAACGGGACGAAAAGACCCCGUGAACCUUUACUGCAGCUUAACGCUGAAUUUGGGUAUACGAUGUGUAGGAUAGGCAGGAGACAAUGAAGCGGGUACGCCAGUAUUCGUGGAGUCAACGUUGAAAUACUGCCCUUUGUGUAUUUGAGUUCUAACCCUGCGAAGGGGACACCGUUUGGUGGGUAGUUUGACUGGGGUGGUCGCCUCCAAAAGCGUAACGGAGGCUUCCCAAGGUACCCUCAGCACGAAUGGUAACCGUGCGUAGAGUGCAAUGGCACAAGGGUGCUUGACUGUGAGACCAACAAGUCGACCAGGUGCGAAAGCAGGGCAUAGUGAUCCGGUGGUUCUGUGUGGACUGGCCAUCGCUCAAAGGAUAAAAGGUACUCCGGGGAUAACAGGCUGAUCGCCGCCAAGAGCUCAUAUCGACGCGGCGGUUUGGCACCUCGAUGUCGGCUCGUCACAUCCUGGGGCUGGAGAAGGUCCCAAGGGUUCGGCUGUUCGCCGAUUAAAGUGGCACGCGAGCUGGGUUCAGAACGUCGUGAGACAGUUCGGUCUCUAUCUGUUGUGGGCGCAGGAAAUUUGAGGGGUCCUGACUUUAGUACGAGAGGACCGAGUUGGACGAACCUCUGGUGUACCGGUUAUGCCGCCAGGUGUACCGCCGGGUAACCACGUUCGGACAGGAUAAGCGCUGAAAGCAUCUAAGCGCGAAGCCUACCCCAAGAUAAGAUUUCCCUAGAGGGUCGUAGGAGACUACUACGUUGAUAGGCCGCAGGUGUAAAGGCAGCAAUGUCAAAGCCGAGCGGUACUAAUUACCCGAACGACUUUCUGCA